UACGUAGGGGCCUAGCGUUGUCCGGAUUUAUUGGGCGUAAAGAGCUCGUAGGCGGUUCGGCAAGUCGGAUGUGAAAUCUCCACGCUCAACGUGGAGGGGCCAUUCGAAACUGCCGUGACUCGAGUCCGGUAGGGGAGUGUGGAAUUCCCGGUGUAGCGGUGAAAUGCGCAGAUAUCGGGAGGAACACCAAUGGCGAAGGCAGCUCGCUGGGACGUUACUGACGCUGAGACGCGAAAGCGUGGGGAGCAAACAGG
rnacentral:rRNA from 1 species